AUCCCUUGUUUGAUUUACUUUGUAAAGAGAUGAAGAGUUAUAUGAAGUUUUGUUGUUAUAUUUUAAAGAUGUUGAGAUGUUCUUUUGAUGAUGUGAGGAUGAUGUGGGAUUUUAUAUCCGUAUUUGAGUUUGAGUAUUUGAAUAAUUCUAGAUAAUUAUUUGAAUGAGAACGGUGAACUCGGAAGUGAAAUCUGAGUCCGUUAAGACGUUUUUGAAAUUUUUGACUUUUUGACGAUGAAUAGUAAAGUACGGCUAUUUCGUCUUUUUGUCGACUUUCAAAAUCUUACGUGCACGUCGUCGAGAAAUAUUCUUAGUUUUUCGAUACGAGUCCAAUAAUGAAAGUUUUUAUUUUUGGACGACGAGUGAAUAGUAAACCGGGAUUUCUCGAUAAACGAACCGAGCUCGUUUAUCAGAAUUUCGAGAACGAGCUUGUAUUUUCUAUAUUUAUAUAGAAUUACGAGUGUAAUGAAAGUGAGUAGAGGUUGAGAGGGCGAGUAACGAAUAAUAUGGGUAGUUAGUCGUUAAAACGAGAUGAAACGAGAUAUUUAACGACUAACGGGUUAAUAUCCUAAAUAUCUAACCUACCCUACCCCUAACCACCCCCCAACUGCCCACUAUCCCUCUAUCUCACCUAACUCACGCUAUAUCAGCCCACACCACACACACAACUCACAUAUUCACACACACAACACCUAAAACACACACUACACACGCCAUUUUCCAUUUAAGCUUGGACGGAGCUUUUGACCUCCGAUUUGAGCACCGAGACGAGCGCCGAUCAUCUUUUCGAUCACGUAUCUAAGUAGGUCCUUUUUGGGAAGUAACGACUUGAGGGAGAGAGUGACGUUACUCAUUGAUACAGAGACACAACGAGGUUGAGCUGAUGUGAUGAUGGUGCUGCAAUGAGCGGAGUCUCCAGGGUUGUUAAUAAAUAGUUAACCUGUCUAGAAUAUGUCUUCAUACAUAUGUCUAGCUACUUUCCGCUGCAAGAUGUUGUUGAUGUUAUAGUAUGUUAUGUCAUACUUUGAGUCUUAAGAGAAUGGUUUCAUACGAUGUAUAACUUGAUUAAUGAUAUUAAUUAAGUUU